rnacentral:rRNA from 1 species
AGACCAGACUCCUACGGGAGGCAGCAGUGAGGAAUAUUGGUCAAUGGGCGAGAGCCUGAACCAGCCAAGUCGCGUGAGGGAAGACGGUCCUAUGGAUUGUAAACCUCUUUUGCCGGGGAGCAAAAAGCGGUACGUGUACCGCAUCGAGAGUACCCGGAGAAAAAGCAUCGGCUAACUCCGUGCCAGCAGCCGCGGUAAUACGGAGGAUGCGAGCGUUAUCCGGAUUUAUUGGGUUUAAAGGGUGCGCAGGCGGAAGCGCAAGUCAGCGUUAAAAUUGAGGGGCCCAACCUCUUCGAGCCGUUGAAACUGGUUUUCUUGAGUGAGCGAGAAGUAUGCGGAAUGCGUGGUGUAGCGGUGAAAUGCAUAGAUAUCACGCAGAACUCCGAUUGCGAAGGCAGCAUACCGGCGCCCAACUGACGCUGAAGCACGAAAGCGUGGGUAUCGAACAGGAUUAGAUACCCCGGUA